rnacentral:lncRNA from 1 species
CAGAGUGGCCUGAUUGACUUCCUGGACUCAUAGUACAAGUAAACAAAGAAUUUGAUGACAAAGGUGGGUUUUUUUUAAGUUUGGAGUUACCCAAACCUCCUCAGAUGUCCUCAGAUGCUCCAUGCAGUUGCAGUGUGAUGUUGGAGGUGUGGAUGUGCCAUAGCCGGGCACACUUUCAAGUUCUCCAAGUUCCUGAAGUCCUGUCUGAAAAUCAACCUAUGCAUUGUGCUGCCUCAGGUGGGUGAAAGAAGGCAAGGGGCACAGCCAGAGGAACUAGGAACCAAGAACAGCCAGCCAGAGAAAGUUCUGUGAUCAAAGUCCAAGAAAAGGUUUUUUUUUCAUGAAAUUUGCCAUUAGAGAUAUUGAGGAGGCCUAUGUAUUAAAUUCCUGAGUUUUGAGGCACCGUAAUAGAGCUGUCAAACAAAGAUAUAGAAAGUGCCACUGUUUCCACGAGACAUGACAAGCUAAGGAUUCCCAACAAAGUAAGGCCACCUGAAGAGGGAUAAUGAAAGUGAUUACAUCAGCAAAGAGGAAGGAACAAUCCAGGUAAAGAGUUGGUGGAUGUUUGAUCUUGGAGGGUUGCUGUUACCUCCAGUGCAGUCAUCCAAAGCUGUCUAAAAAUUAAAUAGGCUAAAAGAACAAGAAUGCCUAGGAUUUCUUCCAGGAAUUUCUGUAGUUACCUACUAGGCAUCAAAGGAGACUUCUUUUGAACCUUCAAAUAUACAAGGAGGUCACAUGCAUUAGUGACUGCAGAUUUGGUAACCUAUUAUUCAUUAUUUUCUUUUAUUGAUUGUUUUACAGUCCCCAAGGCUUGUGUGUUGCUUUCUGUGCCACCAAAAAAAAAAAAUCUGUAAAAUCUUGAGGUUUUUUACAGGAGCGACAGCAGCUGUCUCUCCUUGUUAAUGACAAUAGCAGUGUAUAUUUUUUCCCUAAUAACUCUAAUUAGGAGGUCUCACAUGAAUAUUAAGUCAAUUUUUUAUAAUGAAUGAUGUCUUGUAACUGGAAAAAAAAUUAAAAAAAGACAGGUUGACCUAAGAUAAUUUCUUAUUUAAAGAUGACCUUUAAAAAUGUAAAGUUGCAACAAAUUAAUUACCUGGCUUAACCACUUUGUUAAUUUUUUUAAAAAAGAAAACAUGAUAACAUGCCAUAUUCGAGUUAUGCUGGCAUCUAGGACAAAGAGACAAGCCAAAACAAUGAUAAAAUUGUGGAAAAGUAAGGUAUCACCCACAGAUAUAACUAGCCACU